rnacentral:rRNA from 1 species
AACGAACGCUGGCGGCGUGCCUAAUACAUGCAAGUCGAACGAGAAAGUGCCUUCGGGCAUGAGUAAAGUGGCAGACGGGUGAGUAGUACUUAGGUAACCUACCUCCGAGAUGGGGACAACCUUCCGAAAGGAGGGCUAAUACCGAAUAAGACCACAGUUGCUGCGGCGACAGGGGGUCAAAGGUGGCCUCUACUUGUAAGCUAUCGCUUGGAGAUGGGCUUAAGCACCAUUAGCUAGUUGGUAGGGUAAUGGCCUACCAAGGCUUCGAUGGUUAGCUGAUCUGAGAGGUUGAUCAGCCACACUGGAACUGAGACACGGUCCAGACUCCUACGGGAGGCAG